UACGAAGGGGGCUAGCGUUGUUCGGAAUUACUGGGCGUAAAGCGUGCGCAGGCGGCUUUCCAAGUCAGUGGUGAAAGCCCGGAGCUCAACUCCGGAAAUGCCAUUGAAACUGUGAAGCUCGAGAACGAGAGAGGUGAGUGGAAUUCCCAGUGUAGAGGUGAAAUUCGUAGAUAUUGGGAAGAACACCAGUGGCGAAGGCGGCUCACUGGCUCGUAACUGACGCUGAGGUGCGAAAGCGUGGGGAGCAAACAGG
rnacentral:rRNA from 1 species